CAAGAGCGUAUAUUAAAGUUGCUGCGGUUAAAAAGCUCGUAGUUGGAUUUCAGUCUAGGAAGGUUAACUCGCCGAAAGGUUGUACGUUGAUUUUCCUCAGACUUCGUCAGAAGCUCGUGCUGCACUUAACUGUGUGGUACGAUGUUCUGACCUUUUACCUUGAGGAAAGUAGAGUGUUUCAGGCAGGCUACCCAGCUUGAAUACAUUAGCAUGGAAUAAUGAAAUGGAUCUCGGUUCGAUUUCGUUGGUUCUAGAGCUGAGGUGAUGAUCAAUAGGAACAGGCGAAGGUAUUCGUACUUGAGAGUGAGGAGUGAAAUCCGAUGAUCUCUUAAAGACGAUCCGAGGCGAGGGCAUUUGUCAAGGAUGUUUUCAUUGA
rnacentral:rRNA from 1 species